UGGGGAAUAUUGCGCAAUGGGGGGAACCCUGACGCAGCCAUGCCGCGUGAAUGAAGAAGGCCUUAGGGUUGUAAAGUUCUUUCGGUAUUGAGGAAGGUUGAUGUGUUAAUAGCACAUCAAAUUGACGUUAAAUACAGAAGAAGCACCGGCUAACUCCGUGCCAGCAGCCGCGGUAAUACGGAGGGUGCGAGCGUUAAUCGGAAUAACUGGGCGUAAAGGGCACGCAGGCGGUUAUUUAAGUGAGGUGUGAAAGCCCGGGGCUUAACCUGGGAAUUGCAUUUCAAACUGGGUAACUAGAGUACUUUAGGGGGGGGGUAGANUUCCACGUGUAGCGGUGAUAUGCGUAGAGAUGUGGAGAAAUACNGAGGGCGAGGGCACCCCCUNGGGAAUGUACUGACGCUCAUGUGCGAAAGCGUGGGGAGCAAACAGGAUUAGAUACCCUGGUAGUCCACGCUGUAAACGCUGUCGAUUUGGGGGGUUGGGGUUUAACUCUGGCGCCCGUAGCUAACGUGAUAAAUCGACCGCCCUGGGGAGUACGGGCCGCAAGGUUUA
rnacentral:rRNA from 1 species